CAAUCAAAGCAGACAAAGAUAGGCUUCAUUCCGACUGUCUGAAAGAAAAAGCAAGUCUGAGGACUUGCUUUUUCUGAAGGAUCAAAGGAAGAAAGAAAAAUGACGUUUGGGCCUAUUGACAAGCGUUGAGCCGAGAUAGAACAGAAGAGAAAUAGCAGGACUCAGAGUAAAGUUAUAGCAUCAACAAGUUUUUGCGAAAAAUCAUUUGUUCAGUCUAGAGGUUUUAACGUGUGCUCUACUGAUGGUGUACAUCUACCUAAAACAAUUUCUUCAGAACUAAUUUCAGAGUCUAAAUCAGAAAAUAAUUACAUGGACUGUUCAAUAAGGAGUUUUAAAAAUCAAGAAUAAACAAUUGUUAUCAACCAAAAAGUUAUUAAAGAAACUAUGAGAACAGCUAUAGGCAUGAAAAUAACAGCUCAUAAAAUUACAGCAACUUUGAUAAAGCUUGUCAGCGCAGCUGGAGGUAAUCCAAAUAAGUUGCCCCUCUCUUAUACAUCAGUAUUUUGAAUGAAAAACAAUAUUAUCAACAAAGAUGCUGAAAAUAUUAGGAUUUUAAUAAAAAAAGAUAUCGAACAGGGUAAGGUGAAAAUUCAGCUACACUUUGACGGAAAGUUAAUCAAGGACUUGAUAUCAAAUCACGGUGGUGUAGCAGUUGAUAGGAUUUGUGUUUUUGUGAGAGCUGGAGGUACUGAUCAUCUACUUGGCGCUCCAGGAGUUUAUUCUGGUACAGGCUAAAUCAGUUCAAGGCUAUCAAAACAUUUUUGAAAGAGUUUGAAAUUGCUGAUCACAUAAGGAUGGUCUGCUUCGAUACUACUGCUAGCAAUACUGGAAUGAUUCGUGGUGCUAUAUACAGACUGUUGGUAAACCAUUGUUGAUGCUUGCUUGUAGACAUCAUGUUUUAGAAGUCAUAUUAAAAUAUUAUUGGUUAGCAGUUACCAUAGACAAAACCACAGGACCUGACAACGCACUCUUUAAAGGCUUGAAAAGUAAGUGGAAUGAUAUUGAUGUGAAAAACUGUGUCAUCACUUACUUUAAAUGGCAAUCUAUUUAUGAUUCUUGGUUUAAUGAACAAGCAGAAAAAGCUAGAAAAUGUUUAAUGACGAUUGUGAAUGAAGGAAU